CGAGUUCAGUUCUAGGCCUGCUGGCGACGGAGAUAGUCGAGUGACUCCGUAGCUUGAAGGAAUAGAAGCGCCCGUCUAGCGAAUUGGGAGUCGUGAGUUCGAGUCUCACCGGAGUACGUGGAUUUCUUUUCAUAAUUUCAAAUCUCAAUUUGUUCAUCGAGCACAUGUUCUGUUGUGCACAUGGAUGUCAAAGCAUUUUCAACAGUGUAAUUUCCCACAUGGCUUGGUCAGCCAAAGCAAAAUCAAGAAAUUGACAUUUGUAAGGUGCUACGGUCACCCUUACCGUAUUCGGUCGGCCGAGGACCGACCCGUCGAGAGUCCGACUGCACACUAAUUGCCAUACCAAUAAGUGAUUGGAAGGCAGUGCCCGAAGCUCUCGACAAUUAAAAAUAACUUCCUCUCCCGCUUUGACAUACAUGUGCACAACAGACAAUGUGUUAGAUGUUCAUCUAAUCCCAUCCGAAGGGGGUUUGGAUUGUGAAAAGAAGAUAACCAUGUGCGAUUGUGGAAUCGAGUUCAGUUCUAGGCCUGCUGGCGACGGAGAUAGUCGAGUGACUCCGUAGCUUGAAGGAAUAGAAGCGCCCGUCUAGCGAAUUGGGAGUCGUGAGUUCGAGUCUCACCGGAGUACGUGGAUUUCUUUUCAUAAUUUCAAAUCUCAAUUUGUUCAUCGAGCACAUGUUCUGUUGUGCACAUGGAUGUCAAAGCAUUUUCAACAGUGUAAUUUCCCACAUGGCUUGGUCAGCCAAAGCAAAAUCAAGAAAUUGACAUUUGUAAUUUUGUUGUUGGACUUUGCUCGGGUUGCCAGCAGUCUAGGUAAUUUAUGUGUAUUCAAGUAUUAUUGUCUGGAAACGGAGUGCUAUGCUGAAGGAGUCGAGUUACGGUUCAUGUGGGUUUUGCAUUUGAAGUGAUUUCUGGAGUGCCAAUGACAUAGGUCAUUGCUAUGUGAUAUUUGAGAAUACAUAACAACGACGUGGGUCGUCGCUCUAUGUUGUUUGAGUAUGAGUAUAGGCUAUAAAUUAUUUUAGGGUGCUGAUUGUCGUUUUGUAACCAAGCAACAAUUAGCUGAUUAUAUGAAAGUUGUACGUUUUUGUCAAGUCGGUUUCUGUGACUGUAGGGAAGUUACAAUCACAGAACAUGUGGUGAAGAAGUCAGGUGAUUUAUGAUAUGAUGUAACUAAAUACUCUACACUUUACUAGAAAUUUUAGUUUGCUCUGAGGGAUGAAUUCUUCUUCUUCGACUAGUUUCCUACAAUGCGUUGUCCUUACGUAUUACAAGUAUACGUCACUAUUGAAACUGAUCACUAACAUGGUUUAACGGACCAUGUCACGAAGCGGAAUAAACGCGCCGGACUUUACUUAAAGACGAUAGCCUUGCUGGUGAUAACCAGAAGGGUCGCUUACGGAUUCUUCAAACUUAGUAGUCGAUAGCCAGAUUGGAGACGUCCAAUUGGGUCGAGCUAAGAAUCAGAAUUGUUCUGUCUUUAUUCAGAAUAUGCCUUUUAUAUGAUUUCUAUAUUUGCGGUUAUUCUCAUAAGUAUGUAUGUUAAAAAGAGGCGGUUAUUGCCUGAGGGAGACAACUGGAGUGACAAUGUGACAAAAAUGUAUAAUAACGCUCGGUUUGACUCACUCUUUUUUCUUGAUGAAACUGCGCGGACCGGGACUAGGCCUCUCAACAGGGCGGAUAGACUUCGGUUCCUUCCUUCGGGGUCGGCAACGGCGCACACCCAGUAAACAUUUUGGUCUGUAUAAUUUGUGUUAUACACUACUAUAUAAGAACCAAUUCAAUCGUAUAAACUGCACAAAACUGCUAUAUACGUACCAAAGUGGAGGCCAUAUACAUACUUCUGACGAUAUUUCGCGAUUUCGUAUGAUCAUCAUUACGAUGUCCCGAAUAAUCGAUCGAAAGAAUAAAAUACGACUUCGGGUGAUAUGUAAUACGAUGUCCAAAAUUAGCUAUAAAAAAAGUUGACACCUAGCCUAGAACACGGCACCUCGAGAUUGUGAGUCUAAGCCCAUACCAUUGUACUAACUGAUCUGCCUUGAGAAGAGCACAAAUUUUUGCCAAUAUAAGCUAAAGAUUUCUAAACCACCCAUGAAACUUGCCUUUGCCUUCCUAGAUGAGUGCAGAUAUGAAGAAUGGGCUGCAAUUUUUCCAAAGUCAUUACGAUUUCAUUUAUUACAAUGCUGUAAUGAUACAUAGUAUACCUAAUGAUGAGUUGUCAAUUUAUAUACAACUCGUAGCGAGUUGGAUUUGCACAUUACGACGUGUUUUGUUUAUAACACCAGUCCCGCAUCAUGUGUACGUUUCGACGACGACGUCGACGUCGUUGUCGUCGGCGUCGUCGUCGCGUCGUCGCGGGAAAAGUUUACUGCUCAUGUAGGAAUAAUUGUGAGACAAAUGUCUUCCUUCGGUAACUAUGAACACUCCCAAAGAUUGCCCGAAUAUCAUUAUUGGCAAAGAGAAUGUUUCCAGCCCCAAAACAUAAUCAGCGGCCAGGCGGUGAUGAGCAAGGCAAGUGGGUAGCUUUUUUCAUUUUGCAUCGUCGCGGUGCCGAAAUUCAUUAAGUCAUUACGAUUCCCAACCAAAGUUUAUUAACAUUAUAUAUGACUUGUAAGCGUAUGAAAACAGUGACGACUUCAAUUAGCGCGAUUUAUGACUUGCUUUAUACACAACAAAGUUACUCCAAAACAAAUCGCAGCAACGAUUUAUAUACAAUUUGACUUCACAUUUUUUAUCACAACAUUCAACGGUUUUUACGAUUUUGAUUUCUGACAGAGCGAUAUACGAUUUUGAAUGCACCUCCCAUUACGAUCUGUGGUUUACUGGGCACCGGGACUAGGCCUAUCUACAGGGCGGAUAGUCGUGCGCGGACUGCGUUAUCGUCUUCUCCAACGGAUCGGGACGAUCUUUGUGAUUCUUUGGAUAAAUAUUUUUUCUCGGUUGGUCCCUCGCCAAAGGAUUACGGGGGACGAACGAGUUUCACUGAUUUCACCGGUGGGUAUCGGCAAACUUGCCCACUUUUUAUAUUCUUCGGUUUCUUUUAUCAGCGACACUUGGGAAUCAAUUUCCCGGAAAUAUUCCAUCAUAUAGUUCACUUCGUCCUCGAGGUUACUGUUUAUUUUUGGCGCUAGGCCCACUAGGACGUAUUUCGGCCGGAGCCCACUUCAAUCUUCACGUGUAAUUGUCUGUGGCCUCUUCACUGGCUGCACUUUUCACUGCAGUCAGAUUUCGACUGACUGGAAGUUAAAUAAUCCUGGAUGUUUUUGGCGAAAACUAUCUUGUAUUACUUAGGUCACCGGUUAGGGGAUCGAUUUUUGUACGACGUUUGCAGGACACCCUCCAGAGGUCCUCUCUGGAGCCACCAAAAAUGUCGCCGCCAGUAGCUACUUUGGUCUCCGGUUAGGGAGACCGUUUUCACUACUGAUUGUGAAUUUUCACUUGGUGAGAAACUGUUUCAAAAAUAACCUUAUCCGGUUUCGGAUAAGUGAGAACACUUUGGAAUGAUCUUUGAACUUCCACUUUAUUUACAAUUCUUACAGUGUGUAUCUUAAUUCUACGUGUUGCAUUAUUGAUGUAUAAUAGUUAGGUUUAUAAGUUGUCAAAAACGGAAUUUUCAUAUCCCUUUCAGGACCUGGGAUUUACAAAAUAUGUCAUAAAUCUAAUAGAAAAAGGGCUUGGACUUAUUUGUCGCUGAAUAGGUUGAUAUUUUAUUUAUUUCCUCUUAUGUGCUAUGUCCCUCUCGAAUCUGGGAUUUUCGAUAUUUUUUUUUAUCUGUUUUCAUGUUUUCUAAUUUCAGAACCGAAGAGGCUUAUUAGUUAAGGCGUGGUUUAAAAGUAUAGAAUUGUGAAACAUUUGUACGGUUUUUAAUCUAGUUCCUAUCUAGCACUAAGGGUGAAAAGAUAUGAAAUCUUAAGCUAUCUGCUAUUCCUAAGCCACAUGUGGGCGUGUUUUUCCCUAGCUCGAGUGCAUCUGCAUAUGCAUGCUUAGUCCUAUUUCAAGUGGUGCAAUAAAGUUAUGUAAUCGGAGGUCCUUAUUUUGCGCUCUACUUUUUAUUUCAUUUUCUCAUUUUGGUAUCGGCAUCGACCAUGCUUCGAUGGACCGUCGGGAAAUUGGUUUCUAUGGCUGGUUUUUUUAUUGGUUACUCGCGGCGAUACCAGGCCAAACAGUUAAAGCACCGACGAGAUUUUACCGUUUUGUCCCAUCUCUGGGUUGGAGAGAGUUCUUCGAAGGAGGCGCAGACCCAAAUGGGGUGUCCACCUCCUCCGCAGGCAAAGCAGGACUGUUUCUGUGACUCGCCCUGAAUGUCUUUUGCGCAUUUGGCUUCCUCAGCAUCCUUCUUUGACACGAUUGCCGCUGCUAGCGUCUUUGCAGUUUGGCCUUUGUGCUCCUCAAAGUCGGAGCGACAGGAUAGUUGAUUGGCGUGUUUCUCGAGUUCGCUUUUGAACUCCACCCAUGAGUAAAUUUUCUGGAGACUCAUCUUCUCCUCCAUUUUUGCGAGAGUCCCUUCGUCCAUGUUGUCUUUCGCCAAACAGACUAGUAGACCGUUGGCGAUGCAGUUGAGGGAUUGGGUUCCCUCGCCCGCGAUUUGUUUCGCGGACGUGUUCAUAGUGUCGAUCGUAUCAAUGAUCGGCAAUAUGGAUUUGGCUGACGGCUUCGUAGCCUUAUUUUUAAUUUGAGGGUCUUUGCGAAGUGACCCUCAAAUGCGAGGCGUUUCUUAUAGAAGCGUUCCUCUAGUUUGGCCCAUACGGCCCUGCCUCACCUUCGAUUUUGAGCAACACACUCGUUGCUUGGUCGAAAAGUACCCGUAGGGUAUCUCUUCGAACAAGGAUGGCCUCCAGCGGUGGAGGCUCAUCGUCGCUCUGUUCCUCGACGAAGUUCGCGAUGGAGUUGACGGACCCCUCGAGGGCCGUGAGCUGGCGGCGCCAGCUCUGGAUCAAACUCUCACCUUCGUUGUCGGGCAUGUCACAGCUGAAUUUCUUUUCGCAUGGGGGUUGAUUAAUUAAAUGUACAGCAUUCAGGGAUCAUUUCGUGACUUCCUCUUUGGGAGUGGUGCAGGUUGAGCUGAGCGGUCACUGUUGGAAGCACAGGGUAGAUCGUGACCCGAUCUAAUAGUUCAGCGGUCUCGGGACUGUCAGUAGGCGCUGUAGGACCAACGACGUCCGGGGUAGGUUUCUCGCGAUGGCUCAUAGCUCUAUGGGUGAAAAAGGUCGUGAGGGAAUCCCAGAACGCAGCUACUAGCUGCCAUCCCAGUCCGUAUAGGUCAUACAGUAUUUUUCCGUGUAUAACAGUGUCGAUCAGGAAUUUGAUAAGCUUACCUAUCAUGUAAAACCCUAUCACUGCGGUGGUGAAGUGACCCACCCAUGAUGCAAAUCCAAGAAAUUUGAGCCAGUACCGCUGCACCGUCCCUUCGACGACCGAGUCAGGAAUCAUAUUCUCGAUAUCAAAUGCCGUUGAUGAAACAUGUCGCCCCUCGAGCAAGUGCUUUAGGUAGCCGACCGUUGCAUAGACGUGUCAAAAAUUACCGUUUUCAUCUGUUCCACUUGGUCCUUCGUAUAGAUCCCCGAUCUUAUCAAGUCAGGGAUAUGAGCGUUUGUCCAGUUCGCACGCAUCCCGCUUUUCAGUGUUUCCGGUGCCGCGGCCUCCUGAAUCUUCCCAUCGAUCGUGUACCACUUGUCGCCAAACCGGUACUUAGGGGAAAGAAACACAACUUUCGAUUUGGUUCCCUUCCUUCUGUAGUAUCCGGAUCAUAGGCGUCAUGUACCAUGGUUAUGUUGCCCAUUCUGACAGGAAUCUCAUGAAAGCAGGUAUCUUGCGUCUCGAGGACGACAUACACGGGCUUACAUUGGAUAAGAUAAAUUACCUCACCCGCUACGACUGCCGUAUACCCAUCUUGACGCAUCAAGUCUGCGGCGAAAUUAUUAGGAUAGAUCCGCGCUAAGAUAAGCUGUGUACCUAAAACCUUCCUUUCCAACUCGCAAAUAUCUCUAUAUAGGUAAAUCGUCAUACAUUCUUUCUAAUUGGUGUUGUAUAUGCGAUUCGAGCAUAUUAAUUUUGGAAUUGAAGUAAGUGAAAAUGUCGAGGUCCUUUCCAUAGGCAAUCUUGUUGAGGAAGACACGGUGGUUGUUUUCUACUUCGUAGAUGAAAAUUUCCGGGUGAUCAGUUCUGUAUACCGUGUAGCCACAAGCCUCGGCAGUAUCGAAUGCUCGGAUACUGAAUAGUCCGUUCGUCUGCUGGGUGCUGUAAAUCGCUACCUCUCGUGAUAAUGCCGAUGACGGCUCUGAAGUUUUUUUCACGAUCCCGGAGUAGAGCGCAAUGUAUUCCGACUUCGCACAUUCAGGAGUUACAGCUGUGUCCCACGUUACGCUGCCUUCAAGAGUAUCUAUGCAUGACCCUCGCUCGGGAGAAAACACAGGAUAGGCCAUUCCUAAGAUCAAUCGUGUCGUCUGGCACAUUGGCGAUGGCAUAGUAUUCAUAUAAUCGGAUUUCAUACUUUAAUUUGACAACCACGUUCUUUCAUGUGAUUCCGCCGCUGGUAUACGUCCCUCCGUCACACGAAUUACCGUCCAGGCUUCCCUCGAUGACGAUCUCACCUCGAGACGUAGCAUAAGGCAUGAUGUCUUGGAUGCUCCGGUAGUGAUCAAAUUCAUAAUACCCUGUGUUCAGUCCAAUAUUUGUGAACGACGCUGUCUGUGAGGUUUUCUGAUAUUAACACAUCAAAGUGAAAUCCUUGAAUACUGGGACUGUGACCAGUUAGAAUCUUGUGGACUACAUUUGAUGCGAUUCGCUUGUUUCUUUGGUCAUAGAUCACUGUUCGCAUCUUUUGUAGGUUCUCUGCAUCAUAUACACCGCUUUCCAUUAGAUUCGGGAGCGGUUGUAUGGCCACUUGGUAACUAUAUCUGUAACAAGUUUGUGAGGCGCAGUGGUUUCUCUUAUCUUAUCGUCGAACCAAAUUGAAAUUUAGCUGGCAAAAGCGGUGUACACUCUAUUUCCGUUCCUCGUAGUUGAAGUGUUCGAGUUACAGGUGACAAAUACAGUUGUAGUAUUUCCAUAUUUUACCGGCAAUUCUUGGAAGCAUCUUUCGGAUGCAAACGGUUGAACGUAUACUGGUUUACAUUCAAAUACGUGCAGCGCUUCUCCUGCUACUACUGCCGAAAAUCCUGUUCUUUUCAUUAAGGCAUUUACGAAUUCCGUCGGAUUUUGUCUGGCUAGAACUAGAGUAAGUUUUGUUUCUAGCAAUGCCUUGUCUAUCUUACACGUUUCGGUCAUGACUGUGUGGUAGACAUCAUCUAAUUUUUGUCCGAUGUAGUUCUCAACCAAUGUUAUUUUUAAAUUAAAUAUGUGAAUAUAUCGUGGUUCUUUGCGUUAGAUGGCCUUCUAGUAAACGGUGAUUUGAAUGCUGCUGCUUUCAGAAUAAAUAUUCUGGGAUGAUCAGUUGCGUGUCCGUUAUAACCGCAUAUUUUUGCUGUAUUCUUUGUUCGAAUAGAAAUCAGGUGGAUAUCCGAUGUAGACGUAUAUACAGCAUUUUGGUUUUCUUUAGGUGCAUUUAAAUUGAUUGUUUUGCUGACGUUUUCUUCGUAUAUAACUUCGAAGUCGGUUUCUUCCCAUUUCUGAUUCAUGCUAACGUCCCAUGUGGAGUAGCCAUCUGCCGAAUUCAAACAAUUACCGUGCGAGUAUGGACAUACUAGCCCAUGACGCAGUAUUGUUUGGUCAUUCUCAUGGUCCACUGUAGCCAUGUAGUUGUAUAACGAUAUCUCAUAUUGGUAGUAGACUAGUGCGUUUGUCCAUGUAUAUUCCGGCGUUUUAUAAGUACCACCGCUGCAGGAACUUGACCAUACACUGCCUACCACUAAUGUUUCGCCUCUUGUAGUUUGAUUACGCUUCAAUUCCAGAAGUCCGCUAUUCGCUGUUAACGGGAUGCUUCCCAUUAACUGAGUUCUUCUGCAUUCCUCAGGCAUAAAUUUUUAGAAUUUUUUAUAGGAAUAUCCUCGUUCGUAGUCUGAAGUGUGAGAGUGCAUGCCGCAAUGUCGUAUUGAUCUUUUUAUAAUUAAUUUACAUUGAUUUACCAUUGUGCUACCUUUGGCAUUUCUCUGCAGCACUUGUAUGGGUACUUCUGAUAUUGGACAGAUUUUUUGAUGAAGGCAUACAUGAUUCAACAUCUAAAAGUGAAUAAGAUGUCAUAUUUACGUCGGGGUUCGCGCAGUCGUAUGCUAUCAGUCCAGACGGUUGAGCUCCUAAUGCUGACAUGACAAAAUACAUAGCCAUUAGGAUGACCAUAUACCAUGGCGCGGUGAUAAUUGUUUUUUUAAUAACCCUCUUUCUUGGUGGACUUGCAUUCAUUUAGUCUCGUAAUGCCUUCACCUUUUCAACAUCCACCUUACACCUUUUACCCCCCAUGAGUUGAAGUUAACGUUCGCCUUCUGCUGCAUCGUCGCCUCUGAUGACAUGGACAUGCUUGAUUUGGAAAGCAAAGAUCUUAUCGGUUGUAUUUCUUCCCGGUUGUAAAAAUGUGAAAUCCUUUUUCCUUUUGGUUUAUAUUCGGCUUCAUCGGCCAUAAUUUCGCUGUGAUGAUUCAGGUGAUGUAUGUCAUCGCGUCGUGGGGUUAUCAUAUUCUUGACAAUGCUUGGCUCAGGCACUGGCUUCGCUAUUAUGGGCUUGAUUUGUAAACCAUCUAGUGAAUUUGAUACUUCGUUUAUAACUUUGGGUUGGACUGCCUGUGAGGUUGCUUUAUCCCCCUUGACAUCCCCCUUGACCGGCCACGUCCUUACGGUCAUCGAGGAAGGGAAGGAAUGUUAGUGUGUCACGGGAAGGAGUUUUUGUUAGUGGGGAGGGGGAGAGUCACAUGAUUUGGAUUCACUUUGGUAAGUGAUGUGACUCUUGCAACCUUUAUUUGAGUCAAAGCAUUUAUUCAUUUUGACUAAAAUACUACAAAUGUCGACACCGAAGAUGACGAUCCAUUCAAAUUUUUGUGUAAAUGCAAAAAAAAAAACGAAAGAAAAGUAUUCAUUAUCAACUAGUUUGAACUAGCGCCGACACAUGACGUGACGAACUUUUCAAUAUUUGUUAGAUAAAUACACAAAAACCAGAGCAGAAUUUUAUACAAUGGAACGAGCUCACCAAUAAACAUCGUUCGAAGUUUCCAGUGCGUAUGUGCUGCAGCAUCUUCCACUAACUGGCCUCUUCUCCGAAAUCACACUGAACCGCUACAACUACACACGGGUACGACGAUGUGCACAUUCAAACUGACGACGACUACGCGGCCGAUCCGAAUGAAAAAAGCGGCAUUUCCACUUUGCCUCCAAAAACACACCAAAAUAUAUUUACAAUUUUGGUUACAUUUCUGCCACCCUACUUAAACUUAACUUAAGCUUUACACGCCUAGCGUACCUUUCUCCGUUCUCACUCUCUUUUUACAACUUUUUUUUUGUACAACGAGAAAACAUAGCAAGAGAGAAAGCUCGCGUCUCUUACUUAAUAUCUAACUGGAAGCGACUAGAAUGCUUCCUCGUAUGAUUCAUAUGUCCAUCUAUUAUUUUAUACCCCAGUUGUCUCCGAGUGUCCGUAUCGGAAUUCGUCUCGAGUCUCCAGUGUCUUCCACCUGGUGAUGCAUUCAUUUGGUUGAAGAUGUUCACUCUUUUCCUCCGGUCAGCGAUUCGAUUUCACUCACUUUUGCUAAGACAACUUUUCUUGGGAAUCCUACCGACCUAGCCAAGUAAGAGGCGGCGUUCGGUAGUUUGAGUUUUUCUUUUUUAAAGCUAACCCUACGAGGUAUAAGAUCUAAACACUGACUGACUUCCUGUCUUUAUUCACAAGUCUGUGUUGGAUCUCGUCUCAAGUCCUCAGUAUUCCGCUGCGGAUGCCUUCCUUAGAUGAAGAUGAUCUGAAUCCUUUUCUUUCAGUUCGCGGGUAAAUUCACUACAUUGCUAUGCGCAUCGAUCGGUGCAGCCGUUCCAGAUGUGGUAUUGUGUCAGGACCCGUGACUCGUUACAGAUGAGGUACGCGUGAGCCGUGACGGUUCCAAAACAGGUACAGCCCGCGGCAAGGCGGCGGCGGUGAAAUGUAGAAAUAAUAACCUUCUCGUUUUGUGUCUCAGAUAAGACUGUCUUUAUUUUGAAAGGUAAACUAAAUCUACCUUAAAUCUACUCUACAUUUGAUGUUUUUCACAAACACAUGUGAAAACCAUCCCUUUUUACCUACGAUCAUAUGGUUCGACCAAGGUCAUGGCGGUUUUUAUGUCAAAACUUGUUUCCGUCAUUUUGAAGAAGAAAGUUUUCAGUUUACUGGUCAGAAUGUUUGAAGCUUCGUAAUGCAAUUGUCUUGAUACUUUAAUAAUAUGGUUUAACUACCUAUUCGAGCAAGGCUGUAUCAUCUGUUUUUGUUCGAUUAGAGAAGUCAAUUCAUUUAAUUGCUCUAAUUGCCCAACCAAUUGCAAUGUAUCUUUUGUGUUUUUAUUGUUAACGAAUUUCUCAACGUUAUUGGCCAAAAGUUGUAAUAUUCCGAAUGCAUCGGUUAAACUUAAAUCACUCAUUUAUUCUUACACUUGGAACAUUACCAUGAUUUAUCGUUAUAAAGCUAUAUUUUAAUUUACUUGCCAUUCUAUGUGGUAAGCCAGUAGAGAUUUCGUUUCCACUCGUUGAAAUCUCCUUGUAGUGUAUUCAGGUUACUGCACUACCUGGAUGAUUACCUUUCGGUAUUCGGUGGAUGAAGCUUACGAUACCAUGCUAUUAGCGUAGACACAAUCACUUUCGUGGGUUUCACUUUUGUCCUCUGGCUUUCCAUUGACUAUAAAGUUCUCAUUUUUAUUGUUUGUUUCUCUUUUUUGUUCACUUUGCACCAUUUUCCUGUGUAGCUUCUGUCAUCUUUCGCGUUCAAUUGCGUAAAACGCUUUCUUCUGCGUCGUGCUUAUUUUCGCAUGAGUUUUAUUCAUAACUGCUUUGUCGUUUACAUUGGGAACGCAUACUGGUUCAUUCACAUCGUCCCAGCAUCCCAGCAUUCUUCCAUUUUCACAGUCUUCUUGUUUGUCGUCCACUGACUGAAGUUUGAACAGUAUUACCUGCAAAUUGUGUGAAUGCGAAUUAUAAAAUUACCGCGUCCGCGACAGCACUCAAAGCAGUCUCUUGUUCCUCUCUGGAGCCACCAUAUAAUAACAAAGGUGUCUGUAGUGUAACGAGACGUUUUGGACACCCCAAGUCGAAGGUUCCACACGAUCAUUUGCCUGAUGAUGAUUCAGUGUGGGUCUGAACCGGUUCAUCCGGUUGUUACUAGUAAAUUCGAUCGUUACAAUGUGCUUCGUAUUGUAUAGUCUUGAAAAAUCUCUUUGAACAUCUAGUACAUCUAGUUUCUUAAAGCGUCUUGUGGUGUGUAAAUAGCCAUAUUUUACUUCUUCACGGAUUCAGUAACGUGUAAGAUUUCAAUUGUAUGAAAUGCUCUCACUGUAAUUCCUAUUUUCAAUCCAGAUGAUUUUACCUGGGCAUCCCGUACACCCCAACCCGGGCGUUAGAAAGCCUUUGUACUGCUAAAACAAGUGUAGAGGCGAAAGUCGCGGCACUGGUCUUUUUCGGAUUCACUCAGACUGUCCACAACACUGUUUAACACAUUUAUUCAUUUUAUUAAUCUACAUUAGGUCCACCGCACUUAACACCGCAACUUAACAAUUCGAUCACAAAGAACUCGCGAAAAACACCCCGGUUUCCAGCCGAGAACAAUUAGGAAAUCAACGACCGACGACGAACGGCCGGCAAACGGACCCCGCGGACAGACAGAAUGGAUACCACAACAAUACAACGCCGCCCCGGCGUCAAUCGCGGGUCUUUUAAUUUGCCGUCGCAAGAACUCAUUCUCCCGAUCUGAAAAGAAAUAAGAGAAAAGAGAAAAGCCAAAACGGGCGUCGUCCACUCUGGCUUCAUUAGUUCGGCCGCGUGACUGAGACCUUGUUGGGGUUCAGUCAGCGCUGCCGGGCGACAAACAAAAAUUAAAAGAAAAACAUUUCUCCGGCAUUGGAGCGAGAACGUUAUAUCACCAGGUCAACCAGCAACAAGCAGUAAGCAUUCUCUCUGCUUGCAUCGCUUGUUUCUUGGUUAACCGGCGUUGGUCUAUAAACAUGACCGUGAAAUCCACAUGUGAUGUAAUCCACUAAUUGCGUGGAGCACCAUGAGGAAAUAAAGGGUCUUUCUUAGAUCAAUGGUGAUCAUUGAUCUUUAGAUUUAUUCGAUACAGGGAGGGAAAUGCUUCCUUCGGUCGGCAGGACCGCUACACAAGCUUAUUCAUUGGGUUUAGAAAAUAGAAUGCCUUUUAUUUGUCUCGUCUUUAGUUUUUAUAAAAUUACAUUUUUCACUUAGUCAAUACAUAUAUAAUUAAAGAUAAUCGAAUUCAAAUACGGAAAGUCUAUCUAACUCGGCGUCGGGGCGUUACUUUGACAACCAUUUGUCAUACGGUCUUCUGAUUGGUUCGUCGGCGUCGGCUUGGAUUAGUUAGACAAGGAAAAUGGAAUUAACAAUUUGCCCGGUACAACGCGUGGUUUACCCGCGUAAUCCUUCAGGGGAUUGUCGCCCCCGGCUCGGAUGCACAGCUGGAAGGAGGUAUGGGCCAGGCUUGGGAACUGCUUGGCCGAGGCAGUUGCCAUUUGGUUGUUGUACCCGAAGUACACGUUUCCGUCUACGGCUGUUAUCGCAGUACAUGGUCCUGCUGAGGCUUAUUUGGACUACAACAUUCUUCUUUUAUGAGUAUUUUUUAAAAUUUGCUCACUUAGUCCAGAGUUUUCUACGGAAAUUAUUCCAUGUUUCCUUCUCUCAAACAGUUCAUUCUGUCACUAAAUUUGCUAAUUCUGUCAUAUUGUGUAUAUUUCCCUUCACUCAUCGUUUAUUUGUUCACCGUAGUUUCAUUUUAAGCUAUCAUUGAAUACCUCUUUUUCAAAUGUCUUCUGAUUGGUGUACGUCUUAAAUAACUGAUACAUAGUAAGAGCUAGUUGAAUUGUCACGACACCAAAAAUCAACCACAAUAAAAGUUCAUGGUUCUCGAAAAGUUCGGUGUGUAACAGUUGAUUAUUUAUGGCCCUCACUUUUGGGUCACCGUUGCGUUCCACUUUAGAUUUACUCUGGGAUUGCCCCAUUUUUUUCCUUACACUUUUUACGAAAAUUACUCUAUUUUUUUUGCACAAUCACUGCAGUUUUGAAGUUGAUGCAGGGCAGCGACACUUUUUGCUGCUGUAAAUGCCUGUUGUCUUACGAUCAUAUGCUAUUUCCGUUUUAAAUUGUAAUCAUUUUUUUUCAAAAUGGUUUUAAAAACAUAGCUGAUGUUUUCUUAUAUCCUUAUUUUGUUAAAUUUGUUUAGUUUAUAGUAAAUAUUUGAUGCAAUUCAUUUAUUUAAAAUCACCAUACUCUCCAACACAGGUUGUACUAUCAUUUAUUUUGAUACCCCUCGUAAGUUCUAUUUGCGAAGACUGCGCUCGAUGCAGUCUCUCCUGUUCCUCUCUGGAGCCACCAUGAGAAUCAAGUUCUAUGCAGCAUUUGUUUUAAAGCUUAGCGUGUAAUAUUUAAUUAUCUUGAAAUAAUAAUCAGUGUAGACGGGAGUAAAACGAUUCACAAUGAAUUUAAUAUUGGUCGCAGUGGUCAGGUCCUCUGUUUAAAUAAACUACACCACCAGUUCACUACACAUGAUUCCACUAAUUUCACCUAACUAAUUUUCGCCAGUACGUAAAACUGGUUCAAAUGUUUGUCGUUGUUUUCACACUACCUUGAUUACGGCGACAUUACGUGCAGCUUAUUCAGUUGCUACCUAAAGCUGCGUUCCCCUUUGUACUUUCUAUUAUUGAGUUGGAUGAAUUUGCCUGGGCAUCCCGUGCACCCCAACCCGGGAUGUAAGCUCGCUAUUCUCUUGAAACUAUCGUAUUCUGAUCUGCACUAAGGAUCUCUUUCCAUUUGUAACUGGACCUACGGCUGUAAUAAAGCCGUUGCUUGCCUUACGUCAAACUGGCGUUCUUCCUCUGGUUGUACCAUUCUGAUCGAAGUUUCAUCCAACUGGUUUUUGAUGUGUUUUAUUUUCUUCCUCAUUCAUUUUUCUUCGAGACAUUUUGUAUUUUUUUCCUUUUUAGUUUAAAAAAAAAUCUUUCUGUGUUCAAUUCUCGGAUAUCACAUUAUUUUGUUAGAGUCACAACGCGCUUGGUUUCUUCUCGCGUUUUUAGCCGCUCAUGUUUUAUGAUGGCUUUGUAUAUCAAUAAACUAUACCGAUCGCUAGUAAAAUUAGACUAAAAUUUUUUCCGCACUCUCACUUUGCCUUACAUUCGCGUUAAUUAUUUUAAUUAUUUCUCCGUGUUGCACUGGUGCUUUCGGGGUUGAUUUUUCAUCAUUGAAAUUAUAAUGCUGCUGGGAAGGUUGGUUGCACGGUGAGCAUCGGAUGAGCAAUGCAGUCCUCUCUGGAGCCACCAUAUAAUAAUGAUGUGUUUUCUGAAAGGUUCUUUGUUCGAGUUGUUCCAGACUGUGCAGGAGGUUCCUCUUCGGAGCCACCAUCAGUCUUGCUAAAUAAAGCUACUUUGAAUACUGUUUCAACUAAAAUCAUAUUGAGAUGCUUUUUUGUGAUCUAUAUUUUGAUUAUAUUCUCAUCACGAUAAAGUUUUGAUUUACUGCAAAUAUGCAUCUUUUAACCCUGUACACAGAGACAGAAAAAGAACUAAAAGUCACAUAAGCGAAACUUUUCAUCGUUCAACAGUGGACUUUCUCGGACAGUUUCUAACAACCAUUGUCUAUAUGCUUAAACAAUCUAAGAAUCGCAGACAGAUUCAAGUUUUAUUUCUGAAAUUGAAAUUUAAAAAAUGUUCUAUCUCAAGUGUUUUGUGUGGUGGCCAUUCUUGUACAUUAUCUGGUAUUGCGAGAAAAAUAUCAACGUUGUUUUUCCCUAGCAGACAUCCUGUGUCUCGCUAAAAAUAGCAGUAAAAACAUAAAAAAAGUUUUGUGAAAAUUCUCCAAAGGAAUUUGUAGGAAAAUUCUUAAAAAUCUUCCUAAAAAAUGCUUUAAAAAUUCUCGUCUCGGAGGUUGGGGUGGGAUAGGGAAUUUCAGGGAGAUUUCUUGGCACAUCCCAGGAGAAUCCCUAGAAAAAUCCGGAUGAAUAUUGCGAGGAAUUUCCUGGAGAAUAUUUCGAGGAAAUACCUUCAAUAUUAUUCUCGACAUGAAGGUUCGAGGCUGAAUUGUUGAAGAAAGUUUUCUACUGAAAAAUAUAAAAUAGUUCUUCAAUAUUCAGUAGUUAUGCUAACAACAAAUCAAAGAAUUCUUGAGCAAUUUUUGGGAAAUUUUUUGAAGAACCAUUGACAAAAUCAAAAAGGUAUCUCAAAAAAAAAAAAUCUCGAAAAAACUUAAGAUAUUUGCAAGAAAAAUAAGAAACAGUUCCAUUUUUUUAUUAUAGAAUUUCUGUGAAAAUUCAGUAGCUGUUUCUAGCAGAAUAGAACAAUCAUAGCCAACCACUAAUCGUAUAAUACGUAAAUUUACGCAUAUCGCUCACACUUUAACAUCUUAUUCAGCAUCUUAUACGAUCACUGGUUGGCUGAUAUAAUCGAAGUAUAUUUGAAGAGAAUUUCUGGAUGAAUAAUAAAAAAAAAUUACGUCCGAAAAGAAAAGCAUUCUGCAGAAAAUUCAAUCUGUGUUCAAGCGAAAAUAAGAGGAAACUUUUGGGCAAGCUUCUAGGAGUGAACCUUCGACAAAUCCCCAUAAGUCUUGCGGAUGACUCCUCUUUGGAGCCACCAUCAAUAUUUCUAACAGAAGCUUUUUUGAACAAUACUUUUACUUAACCCUCGAGCAGUCGCGUCUUUGACUACCUGCAACGACGCCACGCUCACGCUAUGUACCACAAGCGUGCAAUUUUCAUGGUGCGUGUAGUCGAACUGAGGAAGAGUCUGUAAUAAUUUCCAAAUAAUUCCAAUUAAUUUAUCGAUCAUUACAUCAACCAAUGAACCAAACCAAUGAACUAAUAAACAAUAAAUGCUGUUGAAACGAAUGCAUAGAGUGAAAAAAUCGGCUUUUCGUUGUGCUAUGCAUAAGUAGUGUAGUGUUUGUCUAGAAUUUUCAUUUCAUCGUACAAGUGGGGCAAGUCAUACAACUUCCAUUUAGAUCCUUUACGUCCUUUUCAUUUAUCAUGACAUCAUUUCAAUAUUAAAUGAAAAUAAGCCACACAAAAUAUAUAUGGAACAGUAUGGAUAGCGAACCCGUUGCAUUCCAAGAGUUACAUCGAUUACCAUCAAUAUUUACCCCUCUUUUACUUUGAAUACCUUAUUCCGAUUAACCACAUCUUAUGCGAGAAAAAAAAAACAAAAUAAGCAAUCUAUCAUAAGUUUAUCAUCAUUGCUACCAUCAUUAUCUUUGCUCUUUUUCGUUUGUGAUCACAUGUGCUACAUGCUUACCACAAUAUCACUUCAUAAUAGCUGAAUACUAAUCGAGUAGCUGAAAUAAUAAUAGAAACAUGAAUAUGAUCUAUCAAUAGGCCAUUUUGUAGGACAUAAUCUAGCUUGUCGAUAAUACAGAAACUCAACCAAGAGAAACUGUACAGGUUUAUUGUGAAACAAAUAAUCAUCUUAACCAACGCAACUUUUGUACACAUUAAAAAAAUCACUUCAAAGUGUAGGACACAACACAGUCACGAAAUUCAAAGUACAUCAUAAAAAUAUAACUCAAUAAUGAUGAAUACAGGACCCAACAGAACAACACAUUGUUAGAAUAACGAAAAGGCCAAACACUUUCUCCAGUUCCAAGUUUUGAAUACUUAUACAUACAAACAAAACACAAAUGUUUCCGUUUCUGUGUGAAUACACUCCUACCUACUUCUCAAAACGAAAACCAUAGCAAUAAAUCGAUCACCUAGCAGUAUCAUAUACCACGAACGCCUAUCAGUAGUGCGUCUGUGUUUGUAGAAAAUGUUGACAGAAUUGUUGUUGUUGUUACACAAAUUGUAAACAAACUAUGAGAUGCCCGAUAACCGACUGUGGCGCAGAAACGCUCGCAGUCGCACAUACUAUUACUCUAAAACAGUUGGGACAGAUAUUACACGGAAAACACACACACACAUACUCACGCGUAGCUACAUUAACCAGAAUAGUUUAGGCUGAUAUUCUCCUUCGCUAGUAAGUAGGACCAGCUGUGAUUGUUUUAAAUUUUUAUAAGUUAGAUAACGGACAGAAACGUAAUUGUAAUAACAAGGGAUUGAGUUUCGAAUCGGUAGGUAUUUCAAGCAGCUUUAUGACCACCCUAGAUAUACAUAUAACUGAAGACGGUGCGAAUUUUCAAUUUCUACUAAUAAUAUUUUAACUAUUUAGGUGCGGUUCUUUUAGUGGAAUAAAUUAGUGUUUGCAUUUUCUUAAGAAAGACUUCCAAAGCCACAAUGUAAUGAAAUUGUUUUUCAAGACAACAAUUUCCCUUUUUUGUGAUUAUUCCCAACGUACGGCAGAGAAUUGGGGAUUCUACUUGAGUUCGAAUAGUAUUAUUCGGUGCAUUUCCUGUAAGCAAGAAAACUCGACUUACCAUUUUUUGCUGAAAAUAUGAUUUUUGCCAUGUUUAGCUUCCUGAAUAUGAGAUAUUUUUAGCUCUAGGAUUACAAGAUAAGAUAUUUUACAAAUGCGAUCUAGUUUAAGAAUGAAUGCGAUGAACAAAUUAUCUACCAAUGAAUACUGUUUUAUUUAUAAUCAAAUUAAAAUACUGCAAAUAAUUGAACAUUGUAGCGACAAAAAGUCUUUAAAAUGAAUUAAAUUGUUGGUAAAACGAAAUAUACGCAGCGCCCCUCAACACCCAAAAAAGCCAUCAUUUGAAACGGUUAGCAGGCACUCAUAUAAUAAUUAACAGAAAACACGAAUAUAAAUAGACACAUUCAUAUUUAAUACGAACAAUGGAAAAACAAUGUAAUGUAAUUACUGCUUUCGAAAUGUGUGUGUCAGUCAUCGUAACAGGGGCAUGAACAUAGUAAACGGUGAUACUUGAAACCCAGUGAAAAUAGCAUACAAUUGAUUAAACAAAUAAACCGAACAAAUUAUGUACCCCCAUCAAAACCGAAUAGAUAAAACACUAACCUAUUCUAGAGUCUUACCAAGAAAAUAUAUAUAUUUAAAUAAA